rnacentral:rRNA from 1 species
GAUGAACGCUGGCGGCGUGCCUAAUACAUGCAAGUCGAGCGAACAGACGAGGAGCUUGCUCCUCUGACGUUAGCGGCGGACGGGUGAGUAACACGUGGAUAACCUACCUAUAAGACUGGGAUAACUUCGGGAAACCGGAGCUAAUACCGGAUAAUAUAUUGAACCGCAUGGUUCAAUAGUGAAAGACGGUUUUGCUGUCACUUAUAGAUGGAUCCGCGCCGCAUUAGCUAGUUGGUAAGGUAACGGCUUACCAAGGCAACGAUGCGUAGCCGACCUGAGAGGGUGAUUGGCCACACUGGAAUUGAGACACGGUCCAGACUCCUACGGGAGGCAGCAGUAGGGAAUCUUCCGCAAUGGGCGAAAGCCUGACGGAGCAACGCCGCGUGAGUGAUGAAGGUCUUCGGAUCGUAAAACUCUGUUAUUAGGGAAGAACAAAUGUGUAAGUAACUAUGCACGUCUUGACGGUACCUAAUCAGAAAGCCACGGCUAACUACGUG